AACGAACGCUGGCGGCAGGCCUAACACAUGCAAGUCGAACGCCCCGCAAGGGGAGUGGCAGACGGGUGAGUAACGCGUGGGAACCUUCCCUGUGGUACGGAAUAACUGACCGAAAGGUUAGCUAAUACCGUAUACGUCCGAGAGGAGAAAGAUUUAUCGCCAUAGGAUGGGCCCGCGUCGGAUUAGCUAGUUGGUGAGGUAACGGCUCACCAAGGCGACGAUCCGUAGCUGGUCUGAGAGGAUGAUCAGCCACACUGGGACUGAGACACGGCCCAGACUCCUACGGGAGGCAGCAGUGGGGAAUAUUGGACAAUGGGCGCAAGCCUGAUCCAGCCAUGCCGCGUGAGUGAUGAAGGUCUUCGGAUUGUAAAAACUACUUUCGUCCGGGAAGGAGUAAUAGACGGUACCCGGACGAAGAAGACUCCGGCGUAACUUACGUGCCAGCAGUUCCGCGGUAA
rnacentral:rRNA from 1 species